CUAAAGACUCUCGGCAACGGAUAUCUCGGCUCUUGCAUCGAUGAAGAACGUAGCGAAAUGCGAUACUUGGUGUGAAUUGCAGAAUCCCGUGAACCAUCGAGUCUUUGAACGCAAGUUGCGCCCGAAGCCAUUAGGCUGAGGGCACGCCUGCCUGGGUGUUGCA
rnacentral:rRNA from 3 species